GCACCAGUGGUCUAGUGUUAGAAUAGUACCCUGCCACGGUAUAGACCCGGGUUCGAUUCCCGGCUGGUGCA
rnacentral:tRNA from 1 species